AUUGAACGCUGGCGGCAGGCCUAACACAUGCAAGUCUAGCGACCGGCGGACGGGUGAGUAAUGUCUGGGAAACUGCCUGAUGGAGGGGGAUAACUCCCGGAACCGGUAGCUAAUACCGCAUCCAAUCAGAUGAGCCCAUAUGGGAUUAGCUAGUAGGUGGGGUAACGGCUCACCUAGGCGACGAUCCCUAGCUGGUCUGAGAGGAUGACCAGCCAGACGGGAACGGAGACACGGUCCAGACUCCUACGGGAGGCAGCAGUGGGGAAGAUUGCACAAUGGGCGCAAGCCUGAUGCGGCCAUGCCGCGUGUAUGAAGAAGGCCUUCGGGUUGUAAAGCACUUUCAGCGGGGAGGCGUUACCCGCAGAAGAAGCACCGACUAACUCCGUGCCAGCAGCCGCGGUAAUAC
rnacentral:rRNA from 1 species